GGACACAAUACCUUUAUUUAUUUAUUUUUUUAAUGUGGUGUUGAGGAUUGAACCCAGUACUUCACUUGUGCUAGGAAAGCUCUCUGCUACUAAGUCAUACCCUCAGCCCUAUUUUGUAUUUUAUUUAGAGACGGUCUCACUGAGUUGCUUAGUGCCCUGCUUUUGCUGAGGUUGGCUUUGAACUUGAGAUCUUCUUGUCUCAGCCUCCCGAGCCUCUGGGAUUACAGGCAUGUGCCACCAUGCCCAGCAACCUUAAAUCUUAAUCUUAAUUAGAAUAUGAUGUAAGGUAAGGGGCAGGUUAUAGAAAUUAUAUAUAUACCCACAAAACUGUUCACUGAAACCACUACUCAGGGGUUUUGUUUGUUUGCUUUGUUUUGUUUUUGCUAAGCAAAACCAAAGGCCAGACAUAUUUUCCGUGCUUGAACUUAGUCCAAGUUGUAAAUAUUUUACCUUAGAGGCAAAAGGGGUAUAGCAGGGGGUAUAACAACCCAGGACAAUACAUAUUUGCUGGAAAACAACAGUAGACACAAGAUCGGACACAGAACUGCUGAUGACCACAGCCUGGCCCCUUCCAGCUGACCUUACUGGGCAGCAAAUUCUGCCAACUCACUGGAAAAGCAAGUCUGGGAGAGAAACACUUCGUGGCUUCCCACUUUGCAAGAGUGCUGAGUUUGUUUUCUGCUGAGCACCUAUAACCAAGAUCCCAACCAAGAUCUGGGACUGCUGAGAUCCACCCUUGCUGGAGGGAACUCCCAAAGCAACACCCAGCCCUGGCAGGCCACUCAAAUCCCUUUUACCCAUUUUUCAAUUUUUUUUUUAAAUAUUUAUUUAUUUUUCGGCGGACACAACACCUUUGUUUGUAUGUGGUGCUGAGGAUCGAACCCAGGCCGCCCACAUGCCAGGCAAGCGCGCUACUGCUUGAGCCACAUCCCCAGCCCCCAUUUUUCAAUUUUUAUUUAUUUUUUUUUUUGGUAGUACUGAAGAUGGAACCCAGGGCUUCAUGCAUGCUGUACUUCCAGGCUACACCUCCAGCCCCAUUUUGCCCAUUUUUAAUUGGAUUUGUUGUUGUUGCUAUUGUAGGAAUUCCUUGUAUAUUUUGGAAAUUAACCUCUUAUCAAAUAGAUGGUUCACAAAUAUUUUCUGCUGUUCCACAGAUGACCUUUUCACUCGACGGUUCCCUUUUCAAUUUGUCGUAGUCCCGUUGUCUAGUUUUGCCUUGCUGCUUGGGUUUUCAGGGUCAUAGCCAGCAUAUCUAGGAACUCAUUGUCUAUGUUACGGAGGCUUUCUCCUACGUUUUCUUCUAGAAGAAUUUUUUUUUUUUUAAUGCUGUAGAUGGAGUCCAGGGCCUGCAU
rnacentral:lncRNA from 1 species